rnacentral:rRNA from 1 species
GCGUUGAAAAGCUCGGGGAUGACUUGUGGGUAGCGGUGAAAUUCCAAUCGAGCCCGGAGAUAGCUGGUUCUCCCCGAAAUAGCUUUAGGGCUAGCCUCAAGGUGAGAGAUACGGAGGUAGAGCACUGAAUGUCCUAGGGGGUAUUGCACCUACCGAAGACUAUCAAACUCCGAAUGCCGUCAUCUUAUACUUGGGAGUCAGACUGUGGGUGAUAAGAUUCAUAGUCGAAAGGGCAACAGCCCAGAUCGUCAGCUAAGGUCCCUAAAUGUAAGUUAAGUGGUAAAGGAUGUGGGAUUGCACAGACAACCAGGAUGUUGGCUUAGAAGCAGCCACUCAUUCAAAGAGUGCGUAAUAGCUCACUGGUCGAGUGAUCCUGCGCCGAAGAUUUCCGGGGCUAAAACUUACUACCGAAGCUACGGCAUCAGUAAUGAUGGGUAGGGGAGCUUCCCAUACGGGUUGAAGCAUGACCGUAAGGACAUGUGGACAGUAUGGGAGUGAGAAUGUUGGCAUGAGUAGCGAGAUGUGGGUGAGAAUCCCACAGGCCGUAAACCCAAGGUUUCCAGGGGAAGGUUCGUCCGCCCUGGGUUAGUCGGGACCUAAGCUGAGGCCGAAAGGCGUAGGUGAUGGACAACAGGUUGAUAUUCCUGUACUACCGAUAACCGUUUGAGAGAAGGGAUGACACAGUAGGAUAAGCUAAGCACACUGUUGGUUAUGUGUGCCCAAGCAUUGAGGCAGUCAAAGUAGGCAAAUCCGCUUUGAUAAUGCUGGGAUGUGAUGGGGAGCGAAAUUUAGUAGCGAAGUAGCUGAUUUCACACUGUCAAGAAAAGUCUCUAUCGAGGUUAAAGGUACCCGUACCGCAAACCGACACAGGUGGGUGAGGAGAGUAUCCUAAGGCCAGCGAGAGAACUGUUGUUAAGGAACUCGGCAAAAUGACCCCGUAACUUAGGGAUAAGGGGUGCCACCAUCAGGUGGCCGCAGAGAAUAGGCCCAAGCGACUGUUUACCAAAAACAUAGGUUUCUGCUAAGUCGCAAGACGAUGUAUAGGAGCUGACGCCUGCCCGGUGCUGGAAGGUUAAGGGGAUCUGUUAGAGCAAUCGAAGCAGUGAACUUAAGCCCCAGUAAACGGCGGCCGUAACUAUAACGGUCCUAAGGUAGCGAAAUUCCUUGUCGGGUAAGUUCCGACCCGCACGAAAGGCGUAACGAUUUGGGCACUGUCUCAACAACAGACUCGGUGAAAUUGUAAUUCCGGUGAAGAUGCCGGAUACCUGCGACAGGACGGAAAGACCCCAUGGAGCUUUACUGUAGCUUGACAUUGGGUCUUGGUACUACAUGUACAGGAUAGGUGGGAGGCUUUGAAACCAGGACGCCAGUUUUGGCGGAGCCAUCCUUGGGAUACCACCCUUGUAGUACUGGGACUCUAACCAUAGGCCAUGAAUCUGGUCUUGGGACACUGUCAGGUGGGCAGUUUGACUGGGGCGGUCGCCUCCCAAAAGGUAACGGAGGCGCUCAAAGGUUCUCUCAGUACGGUCGGAAAUCGUACGUAGAGUGUAAAGGCAAAAGAGAGCUUGAUUGCAAGACAUACAGGUCGAGCAAGGAUGAAAAUCGGACUUAGUGAUCCGGUGGUUCUGCGUGGAAGGGCCAUCGCUCAACGGAUAAAAGCUACCCUGGGGAUAACAGGCUUAUCUCCCCCAAGAGUCCACAUCGACGGGGAGGUUUGGCACCUCGAUGUCGGCUCAUCACAUCCUGGGGCUGUAGUAGGUCCCAAGGGUUGGGCUGUUCGCCCAUUAAAGUGGUACGCGAGCUGGGUUCAGAACGUCGUGAGACAGUUCGGUCCCUAUCCGUCGCAGGCGUAGGAAAUUUGAGAAGACCUGUCCUUAGUACGAGAGGACCGGGAUGGACGUACCUCUGGUGUACCAGUUGUCCUGCCAAGGGCAUGGCUGGGUAGCUAUGUACGGAAUGGAUAAGCGCUGAAAGCAUCUAAGCGCGAAGCCAACUUCAAGAUAAGAUUUCCCACCGCAAGGGUAAGACCCCAGAAAGACUAUCUGGUUGAUAGGUCGAAGGUGUAAGUGCAGCAAUGUAUUUAGCUUAUCGAUACUAAUAGGUCGAGGACUUGACCAAU